GAUGAACGCUGGCGGCGUGCCUAAUACAUGCAAGUCGAGCGAACGGACGAGAAGCUUGCUUCUCUGAUGUUAGCGGCGGACGGGUGAGUAACACGUGGAUAACCUACCUAUAAGACUGGGAUAACUUCGGGAAACCGGAGCUAAUACCGGAUAAUAUUUUGAACCGCAUGGUUCAAAAGUGAAAGACGGUCUUGCUGUCACUUAUAGAUGGAUCCGCGCUGCAUUAGCUAGUUGGUAAGGUAACGGCUUACCAAGGCAACGAUGCAUAGCCGACCUGCGAGGGUGAUCGGCCACACUGGAACUGAGACACGGUCCAGACUCCUACGGGAGGCAGCAGUAGGGAAUCUUCCGCAAUGGGCGAAAGCCUGACGGAGCAACGCCGCGUGAGUGAUGAAGGUCUUCGGAUCGUAAAACUCUGUUAUUAGGGAAGAACAUAUGUGUAAGUAACUGUGCACGUCUUGACGGUACCUAAUCAGAAAGCCACGGCUAACUACGUG
rnacentral:rRNA from 1 species